CCUACGGGUGGCAGCAGUGGGGAAUAUUGGACAAUGGGCGAAAGCCUGAUCCAGCCAUGCCGCGUGUGUGAAGAAGGCCUUCGGGUUGUAAAGCACUUUCAGUGGGGAAGAAAGCCUUGGGGCUAAUACCCUCGAGGAAGGACAUCACCCACAGAAGAAGCACCGGCUAACUCCGUGCCAGCAGCCGCGGUAAUACGGAGGGUGCGAGCGUUAAUCGGAAUUACUGGGCGUAAAGCGCGCGUAGGCGGUCUGAUAAGCCGGUUGUGAAAGCCCCGGGCUCAACCUGGGAACGGCAUCCGGAACUGUCAGGCUAGAGUGCAGGAGAGGAAGGUAGAAUUCCCGGUGUAGCGGUGACAUGCGUAGAGAUCGGGAGGAAUACCAGUGGCGAAGGCGGCCUUCUGGACUGACACUGACGCUGAGGUGCGAAAGCGUGGGUAGCAAACAGGAUUAGAUACCCGAGUAGUC
rnacentral:rRNA from 1 species